UACGGGGGGGGCUAGCGUUGUUCGGAAUUACUGGGCGUAAAGGGCUCGUAGGCGGCCGACUAAGUCAGACGUGAAAUCCCUCGGCUCAACCGAGGAACUGCGUCUGAUACUGGCCGGCUGGAAUCCGGGAGAGGGAUGCGGAAUUCCAGGUGUAGCGGUGAAAUGCGUAGAUAUCUGGAGGAACACCGGUGGCGAAGGCGGCAUCCUGGACCGGCAUUGACGCUGAGGAGCGAAAGCCAGGGGAGCAAACGGG
rnacentral:rRNA from 1 species